UACGUAGGGCGCGAGCGUUAUCCGGAAUUAUUGGGCGUAAAGAGCUCGUAGGCGGUUUGUCACGUCUGCCGUGAAAGUCCGGGGCUUAACCCCGGAUCUGCGGUGGGUACGGGCAGACUAGAGUGCAGUAGGGGAGACUGGAAUUCCUGGUGUAGCGGUGAAAUGCGCAGAUAUCAGGAGGAACACCGAUGGCGAAGGCAGGUCUCUGGGCUGUUACUGACGCUGAGGAGCGAAAGCUGGGGAGCACAGGAUUAGAUACCCGCGUAGUCC
rnacentral:rRNA from 1 species